CCUACGGGUGGCAGCAGUGGGGAAUAUUGGGCAAUGGAGGCAACUCUGACCCAGCAACGCCGCGUGAAUGAUGAAGGUCUUCGGGUUGUAAACUGCUUUUAUAAGCGAGAAAUAUGAUGGUAACUUAUGAAUAAGGAUCGGCUAACUACGUGCCAGCAGCCGCGGUCAUACGUAGGAUCCGAGCAUUAUCCGGAGUGACUGGGUGUAAAGAGUUGCGUAGGUGGCAUAAUAAGUAGCUAGUGAAAUCUGGUGGCUCAACCAUUCAGACUAUUAGCUAAACUGUUAAGCUCGAGACCGUUAGGGGUAACUGGAAUUUCUAGUGUAGGAGUGAAAUCCGUAGAUAUUAGAAGGAACACCAAUAGCGUAGGCAGGUUGCUGGGACGGUUCUGACACUAAGGCACGAAAGCGUAGGGAGCAAACGGGAUUAGAUACCCUGGUAGUC
rnacentral:rRNA from 1 species